GACGAACGCUGGCGGCGUGCUUAACACAUGCAAGUCGAACGGAAAGGCCUAGCUUGCUGGGUACUCGAGUGGCGAACGGGUGAGUAACACGUGGGUGAUCUGCCCCUGACUUUGGGAUAAGCCUGGGAAACUGGGGCUAAUACCGGAUAUUCAUUUUUCCUCGCAUGGGGAUUUGUGGAAAGCUUUUGCGGUUGGGGAUGGGCCCGCGGCCUAUCAGCUUGUUGGUGGGGUAAUGGCCUACCAAGGCGACGACGGGUAGCCGACCUGAGAGGGUGAUCGGCCACACUGGGACUGAGACACGGCCCAGACUCCUACGGGAGGCAGCAGUGGGGAAUAUUGCACAAUGGGCGCAAGCCUGAUGCAGCGACGCCGCGUGAGGGAUGACGGCCUUCGGGUUGUAAACCUCUUUCAGCUCCGACGAAGCGCAAGUGACGGUAGGAGCAGAAGAAGCACCGGCCAACUACGUG
rnacentral:rRNA from 1 species